GUCAUUAAACUGCACAGGAAAAAAAAAAUCCAGACUCGCUCCAAGACACACACAUAUUACUGCAUAUUUAUUUUAUGAUCUGUGGCAUCUCGUCCGUAGAAUAAACAGAAUAAAGGAGAAGGAAGAUGAAAGAGAUACAUUGAAGUCAAGGGCUGUUUGUUAGUCUCUCUCCGCUGCAGAGGCUGGACCAGCACUGAACAUCAGGAGGUCUUUGAAGACAAGAAAUACAAAAAUACAAUUGUACAUAAGAUCUUGCAAAGACUCUUACCUGUAUGUAACAGGUGGUGGGUGCACAAUCGACAGGCAUGACAAAGGGAGUGAAUCCUGAAAUGUUGCCGACAUGCCUCUAUCAUCUGUUCAAAAGGAAAUGGUGGAUGUACGGCGUUUAAUGGAAGCUCCUACUGGAGCAAAGGACUUUUAAAUUAUGCCACAUCUGUGAAGUAAUAUGCGAUGAGCACUUGAGUAAAUAUGUUUAAAAUUUAUGUUGUACUUUGAUCCAGUUUUAAAAGAUUUGUAUGAAACGAGCUGAAGAUAAAGUAUGUGACUGAAAAGCAAGAAUACU